rnacentral:rRNA from 1 species
CUCGUGUCGUGAGAUGUUGGGUUAAGUCCCGCAACGAGCGCAACCCUCGACCUUAGUUGCCAGCAUUCAGUUGGGCACUCUAAGGUGACUGCCGGCUAAAAGUCGGAGGAAGGUGGGGAUGACGUCAAAUCAUCAUGCCCCUUAUGACCUGGGCUACACACGUGCUACAAUGGGCGGUACAAAGGGUCGCGAACCCGCGAGGGGGAGCCAAUCCCAAAAAGCCGCUCUCAGUUCGGAUUGCAGGCUGCAACUCGCCUGCAUGAAGCCGGAAUCGCUAGUAAUCGCGGAUCAGCAUGCCGCGGUGAAUACGUUCCCGGGCCUU